GAGACCCCAGGUCAGGCGGGAAUACCCCG
rnacentral:rRNA from 1 species